rnacentral:rRNA from 1 species
UAGGGAAUCUUCCGCAAUGGGCGAAAGCCUGACGGAGCAAUGCCGCGUGAGUGAAGAAGGCCUUCGGGUCGUAAAACUCUGUUAUAAGAGAAGAACAAAUUGUAGAGUAACUGCUACAGUCUUGACGGUAUCUUAUCAGAAAGCCACGGCUAACUACGUGCCAGCAGCCGCGGUAAUACGUAGGUGGCAAGCGUUGUCCGGAUUUAUUGGGCGUAAAGGGAGCGCAGGUGGUUUCUUAAGUCUGAUGUGAAAGCCCACGGCUUAACCGUGGAGGGUCAUUGGAAACUGGGAAACUUGAGUACAGAAGAGGAAUGUGGAACUCCAUGUGUAGCGGUGGAAUGCGUAGAUAUAUGGAAGAACACCAGUGGCGAAGGCGACAUUCUGGUCUGUUACUGACACUGAGGCGCGAAAGCGUGGGGAGCAAACAGG